AUACCUUUCUUGGCCUUUUGGCUAAGAUCAAGUGUAGUAUCUGUUCUUAUCAGUUUAAUAUCUGAUAUGUGGGCCAUGUGUCCACAAUGAUAUUAAUUUUUUUUUUUGGGGAAGGGUCCACCACAGUGGCAGUGGCUUGCCACUGGAGUCCUUACGUGUCGCCUGGGUGUUGCACUACUGCCCGGGCCAGGCGCACCCCAA